rnacentral:rRNA from 1 species
CGACAGCAUUUGGGGGAUGUAUUAUUGACUACGUCAAUAAAGUUCUAGAUAGAUGAUUGAUAAUGACAGUUUUCUAUCUAUAUGUCUUGACCAAAUCUUGUGCCAGCAGUCGCGGCAAUACAAGGAAGACUAGUGUUAUUCAUCUUUAUUAGGUUUAAAGGGUACCUAGACAGUAUUUCCAGCCCAAAAAGGGUACAGACUUACUAGAGUUUUAUGUGAGAGGUAGAUAUUAGAACCAUUGGAGUAGAGAUAGAAUUUUUUGAUACUAAUGGGACGGAUAACGGCGAAGGCAAGCCUCUAAAUAAUAACUGACGUUGAGGGACGAAGGCUUGGGGAGCGAAUAGGAUUAGAUACCCUAGUAGUCCAAGCAGAGAAUUAUGAAUGUUAUAGAUUAAAUUAUUUGGUGUAUAAAUGAAAGUGUAAGCAUUCCACCUCAAGAGUAAUGCGGCAACGCAGGAACUGAAAUCAUUAGACCGUUUCUGAAACCAGUAGUGAAGUAUGUUAUUUAAUUCGAUGACCCUCGAAAAACCUUACCAUAAUUUGAAUGGUAUCUUUUUUAGGUUUAACGAAGGUGGGCUUAAAAAUGGAUAUUACAAGUGUUGCACGGCUGUCUUCAGUUAAUGUCGUGAGACUUUGGUUAGAUCCAUUAAAUUAACGUAAACCCUUGCUUUAUUUUAUACAUAAAGUAGUUCACCAAUUUAUUGGAUAUGAUAACAGGGAUUAAGACAAGUCAUCAUGACCUUAAUAUUAUGG